ensembl:snRNA U2 U2 spliceosomal RNA
AUUGCUUCUUGGCCUUUUGGCUAAGAUCAAGUGUAGUAUCUGUUCUUAUCAGGGAAUAUUUGUCUACCAGUAUCUGCCUAACACACUAA